GACGAACGCUGGCGGCGUGCUUAACACAUGCAAGUCGAACGAGAAGAGAUGAGAAGCUUGCUUCUUAUCAAUUCGAGUGGCAAACGGGUGAGUAACGCGUAAGCAACCUGCCCUUCAGAUGGGGACAACAGCUGGAAACGGUUGCUAAUACCGAAUACGUUCUUUUGUCGCAUGGCAGAGGGAAGAAAGGGAGGCUCUUCGGAGCUUUCGCUGAAGGAGGGGCUUGCGUCUGAUUAGCUAGUUGAGGGGUAACGGCCCACCAAGGCGACGAUCAGUAGCCGGUCUGAGAGGAUGAACGGCACAUUGGGACUGAGACAGGCCCAGACUCCUACGGGAGGCAGCAGUGGGG
rnacentral:rRNA from 1 species